UAAAACAAAGCCUCAUAGACCAGAGUCUAAAAGUGAAUAUUUUGAAGUUUGGGACCAAGAAAUUUGCGCUGCAAAAAAGUCCCUAGCGGCAAGUUGCUAGAAAGACACAGAAAGGAAAUAGUUACGGCAUGAUGAACAAAGAUCAAGUCAUCCAGCAAUGCAUAAACAAAACCGGUCCCUUAAGAAUACAGAUAUUAAAUACAUCAUCUCUGAAAACUAUUUAACCCUAAAAAUGCUGUAACUUUGAAUCUUCGAGCUCGAAGGCCCACUGAAUUGAGAAACGACUGAAGAAUCAGCAGACGUUCACAGAUUCAGUGAAAUUUCAAAAUCUUCGUGCAACCAUGUCAUUAUUUCGAAUAGGGUUAGUUAGGUUAGGUUAAGUUAGUUAGGUUCGAUUAGGUUUAGGUUAGAGUGGCAGUACAUUUUCUAUUCAGACUGACUCAGACUAUUUUAGUCGGUUGUGGUACCACGAUAGCGACAGGCCAGGCCUGUGGUAGGAACCGAACCCACAACCUCCACACUAGUUAUCCAAGCACGCUACCAACUCAACUGCCGAGGCGAUUCAGUUAUAUUAGAUGGUCAUAUUCUACUUCAAAAUACUGUAGAAUGACAAAAUUCCUUUUAUUAUGUUGUAAUAUGUAUGUACUUUUAAAAUAAAUGUUAUUUAUUAUUUGU